UACGUAGGGGGCAAGCGUUGUUCGGAAUCACUGGGCGUAAAGGGCGCGUAGGUGGCCCGACAAGUCACUGGUGAAAGCUCGACGCUCAACGUCGAGUCGGCCAGUGAUACUGUUGGGCUGGAGCACUGUAGAGGCUCAUGGAAUUCCGGGUGUAGCGGUGGAAUGCGUAGAGAUCCGGAAGAACACCGGUGGCGAAGGCGGUGAGCUGGGCAGUAGCUGACACUGAGGCGCGACAGCGUGGGGAGCAAACAGG
rnacentral:rRNA from 1 species